rnacentral:tRNA from 1 species
CGGGCCGUAGCUCAGCGGUAGAGCGGUGGUGCCCCACAGCGCCAAGGAAGUCAGUUCGACUCUGACCGGCCCGU